rnacentral:rRNA from 1 species
GGGGGACGUAUCGGAUUACUGGGCGUAAGCGCACGCAGGCGGUCUGUUAAGUCAGAUGUGAAAUCCCCGGGCUUAACCUGGGAACUGCAUUUGAAACUGGCAGGCUUGAGUCUCGUAGAGGGGGGUAGAAUUCCAGGUGUAGCGGUGAAAUGCGUAGAGAUCUGGAGGAAUACCGGUGGCGAAGGCGGCCCCCUGGACGAAGACUGACGCUCAGGUGCGAAAGCGUGGGGAGCAAACAGGAUUAGAUACCCUGGUAAA